rnacentral:rRNA from 1 species
AGAGUUUGAUCCUGGCUCAGGAUGAACGCUAGCGACAGGCUUAACACAUGCAAGUCGAGGGGCAUCAUGAGGUAGCAAUACCUUGAUGGCGACCGGCGCACGGGUGAGUAACGCGUAUGCAACCUGCCCGAUACCGGGGUAUAGCCCAUGGAAACGUGGAUUAACACCCCAUAGUACUUUUAUCCUGCAUGGGAUGUGAGUUAAAUGUUCAAGGUAUCGGAUGGGCAUGCGUCCUAUUAGUUAGUUGGCGGGGUAACAGCCCACCAAGACGAUGAUAGGUAGGGGUUCUGAGAGGAAGGUCCCCCACAUUGGAACUGAGACACGGUCCAAACUCCUACGGGAGGCAGCAGUGAGGAAUAUUGGUCAAUGGACGAGAGUCUGAACCAGCCAAGUAGCGUGCAGGAUGACGGCCCUAUGGGUUGUAAACUGCUUUUAUAAGGGAAUAAAGUGAGUCUCGUGAGACUUUUUGCAUGUACCUUAUGAAUAAGGACCGGCUAAUUCCGUGCCAGCAGCCGCGGUAAUACGGAAGGUCCGGGCGUUAUCCGGAUUUAUUGGGUUUAAAGGGAGCGUAGGCCGGAGAUUAAGCGUGUUGUGAAAUGUAGACGCUCAACGUCUGCACUGCAGCGCGAACUGGUUUCCUUGAGUACGCACAAAGUGGGCGGAAUUCGUGGUGUAGCGGUGAAAUGCUUAGAUAUCACGAAGAACUCCGAUUGCGAAGGCAGCUCACUGGAGCGCAACUGACGCUGAAGCUCGAAAGUGCGGGUAUCGAACAGGAUUAGAUACCCUGGUAGUCCGCACGGUAAACGAUGGAUGCCCGCUGUUGGUCUGAAUAGGUCAGCGGCCAAGCGAAAGCAUUAAGCAUCCCACCUGGGGAGUACGCCGGCAACGGUGAAACUCAAAGGAAUUGACGGGGGCCCGCACAAGCGGAGGAACAUGUG